GCCCUCGUAAUGGGCCCAUUUGUUUGGCAAGGAUGAUGGAAGAUGCUGAUGACACAAAGAUCAAUGAAGAAAUAGAAACUAAAUUGGACAAAAUCAGCAUUUCUUCUUUGGAAAAAGAUGCUGUAGAUACUGAUUCAAUCUCAGAAACCCAGAGUGAUGAGAGUGAUGCUGUGUCCCUCUUCUCUCUCCCCUCUCCCCUGUUUCCUGCUCCCUUGGGCUUCACCACAGUAUUGUCAGUGUCCACAGGGACUUAGUUGAAUUACUGGAGUCAGUUCUUCACUGUAUUAACAU